rnacentral:rRNA from 1 species
GAUCAUGGCUCAGAUUGAACGCUGGCGGCAGGCCUAACACAUGCAAGUCGAACGGUAACAGGAAGAAGCUUGCUUCUUUGCUGACGAGUGGCGGACGGGUGGGUAAUGUCUGGGAAACUGCCUGAUGGAGGGGGAUAACUACUGGAAACGGUAGCUAAUACCGCAUAACGUCGCAAGACCAAAGAGGGGGGACCUUCGGGCCUCUUGCCAUCGGAUGUGCCCAGAUGGGAUUAGCUUGUUGGUGGGG